UACGUAGGGGGCUAGCGUUGUCCGGAAUCAUUGGGCGUAAAAGCGCGUGUAGGCGGUCCGGUAAGUCCGCUGUGAAAGUCGGGGGCUCAACCCCUCGGAUGCCGGUGGAUACUGUCGGGCUUGAGUACGGAAGAGGCGAGUGGAAUUCCUGGUGUAGCGGUGAAAAUGCGCAGGAUAUCAGGAGGAACACCAAUUGCGAAGGCAGCUCGCUGGGACGUUACUGACGCUGAGACGCGAAAGCGUGGGGAGCAAACAGG
rnacentral:rRNA from 1 species